UACGUAGGGUGCAAGCGUUGUUCGGAAUUAUUGGGCGUAAAGAGCUCGUAGGCGGUUUGUCACGUCUGCUGUGAAAUCCCGAGGCUCAACCUCGGGCCUGCAGUGGGUACGGGCAGACUGGAGUGCGGUAGGGGAGAAUGGAAUUCCUGGUGUAGCGGUGGAAUGCGCAGAUAUCAGGAGGAACACCGAUGGCGAAGGCAGUUCUCUGGGCCGUAACUGACGCUGAGGAGCGAAAGCGUGGGGAGCGAACAGG
rnacentral:rRNA from 1 species